rnacentral:rRNA from 1 species
UACGUAGGGUGCGAGCGUUAAUCGGAAUUACUGGGCGUAAAGCGUGCGCAGGCGGUUUUGUAAGUCUGUUGUGAAAUCCCCGGGCUUAACCUGGGAAUGGCAAUGGAGACUGCAAGGCUAGAGUUUGGCAGAGGGGGGUAGAAUUCCACGUGUAGCAGUGAAAUGCGUAGAGAUGUGGAGGAACACCGAUGGCGAAGGCAGCCCCCUGGGUCAAGACUGACGCUCAUGCACGAAAGCGUGGGGAGCAAACAGG